rnacentral:rRNA from 1 species
UACGUAGGGGGCAAGCGUUGUCCGGAAUCAUUGGGCGUAAAGAGCGCGUAGGCGGCCCGAUAAGUCCGCUGUGAAAGUCAAGGGCUCAACCCUUGAAUGCCGGUGGAUACUGUCGGGCUAGAGUCCGGAAGAGGCGAGUGGAAUUCCUGGUGUAGCGGUGAAAUGCGCAGAUAUCAGGAGGAACACCAGCGGCGAAGGCGGCGCUCUGGGCCGGAACUGACGCUGAGGAGCGAAAGCGUGGGUAGCAAACAGG